UUGGAGGGCAAGUCUGGUGCCAGCAGCCGCGGUAAUUCCAGCUCCAAUAGCGUAUAUUAAAGUUGCUGCAGUUAAAAAGCUCGUAGUUGAAUUUCGGGACCAAUAUGUCGGUCGUGCCUCGGUAUGUACUGGCAUCGUUGGUCUCUCCCUUCUGACGAACCAUGAUGUCAUUUAUUUGGUGUCGUGGGGAAUCAGGACUGUUACUUUGAAAAAAUUAGAGUGUUUAAAGCAGGCUCACGCUUGAAUACAUUAGCAUGGAAUAAUGAAAUAGGACGUUUGAUUCUAUUUUGUUGGUUUCUAGGAUCGACGUAAUGAUUAAUAGGGAUGGUUGGGGGCAUUAGUAUUCAAUUGUCAGAGGUGAAAUUCUUGGAUUUAUUGAAGACUAACUACUGCGAAAGCAUUUGCCAAGGAUGUUUUCAUUAAUCAAGAACGAAAGUUAGGGGAUCGAAGACGAUCAGAUACCGUCGUAGUCUUAACCAUAAACUAUGCCGACUAGGGAUCGGAUGAUGUUAAUUUUUUAAUGACUCAUUCGGCACCUUACGGGAAAC
rnacentral:rRNA from 1 species